CUUGAAGGAUAAUUAUCAGCACCUCCAAUCCAAGCCAAGAGGCUCUCUCAAAAAAGUGUGGGUUACCGUCUUCUGGUCGUGAACAUGUGUAUGCACCUUGGGAACACAAGUGACCAAUGAGGAAUGCGAGAUGGGCAGUUUAGGAGUGCCGCAUGUUGGUCGACCCUGCGCUGUGACCCCCAAGCUAUGGAGAGCAAGAUGUGGCAGGCGAAGAGAAGAAUUCCAAUGUAAUUGUAAAAAAGGCAAAUAAAAGAUGUAUCAUUGUUAAGUUGAGGUCAGUCUACAUCCCUGUUCUCACCUUUGGGCAUGAGCUGUGGGUGAUGAUGAAAGAAUAAGGUUGCAGGUACAUGUGCUGGAAUGCUGAUUCGCGGCAUGGUUGCCCAGAGCACUCUCUGUGACAAGCUUAUGACUUCAGGCAAUUGCAGGGAUCUCGAAAAAGAGCCGCUGUUCCUUCUAUUCAAGUAGAGACAACUGACGUGGUUCUGGCAUCUUUUAACAAGGCUCUAUCACACCUAGGACAUGCUGGAAGGACAAUAUCUCCCAGCUGUCUUGGUAAUGCCUGCCACUCACCCAGAAUGAUCUGCAAUCUACGACCUUGGAAAGUGAUGUCAGGUCUGACCUGCUCGGCACUUUGCCACUACACCCCCUCAUCGGGAGAAGCAGUGUGUAAAAAAUGACAACUAAGAUGAUAUACAUACAAGAUUUAUGUUUAUAUCUACCAAAUGAUCCAUAACAGUUUUUUUUUCAAAAUUUCAGUCAUAAUCUAGUCAUACUCCUUGAAAUAAAUUCAAAAGAAAGGUAUUAUAACAAAUAAAACGUUCCUAUUUCUUAACCAUAUGCAUUAUGGUUCCAUAAGGACAACCGUAAUCCCGGCACCAAGGUUACGUCAGGUGAUUUUAGAAAUAAGACCAAAACAUAUAUAACAGUAUAUUUCUUUGAACGGAACAGUUCUUCGGUCGGAACUAAAGUUUUACCUGGGGAAGAUUUACAGAGUAACACCCGCGUGUCAUGUCAACAUUACAUGCGUGUGGCGGAACGUGACCGGCACCCCACUUUAAAUUGUCUUUUUGUAUACUUUUUUGUUUGGAAGCGUGUAGUUUUUCGUUAGCAAAGUAGCGUUUUAACAUUCUUGAUUUAAAAUGUCUUCGGGAAGCACGAAAGGAAGUGCUAUUUUUUCCGGCUUCAGGGCCUUGGGGCUUUACUCGAACCAUCUGGCGCACGUUGUGCGGUACCACAAGAAGCACCAGCAAUUCUACGUGGUAACGGCGGUGGGGAAGUGCUUCCACACC